GGUUUGUAAAACUAAACACACACAUACAUCGACACAUGCGCCGGGGUGCCUUCAAAGGUCGGAACAUGGGAUGUAUGGAGGCUUAAC
rnacentral:sRNA from 1 species